CAUGACUCGCUUACCAUCUACCACUGC
rnacentral:misc_RNA from 1 species